GGUACUUAUGUGACUGAGGAGGAAGCAGGUUUUGCUUACGAUAAAGCUGCUUUCAAGAUGCGUGGCCAAAAGGCCAAGCUUAAUUUUCCCCACCUCAUUGGCUCUGAUGUGUACAUGUCGGAGUCAAAGAGGAAGGUGGCUUUGAAACGGGAAUCACCAGAGCCUUCUUCUUCAUCGGAAGAUAGUUGUGAGUCAUCGUCACCAGGAUCGAAGAGGAGGAGCAUGGUUGACCUACUUAACAAAUUAGCCAAGAAUAGAAGCCAAGUCAUGGUGGUAGAAAAUGAAAUGGCCUCACUAGAAAAUGAUGUUGAGCAAUGGGUGAAUGAGUUGAGUGAUUGCUCCCUAAUAUGGUGCUCUUAAUUAUCGUAGCUAUGUUUAUUUUAAUUUUUCUAUUUCUGCAGCUCCUAAGUUAUUUAGGUUUUUGCUGUAAGUGCAGCUGUUCCUAGAAUAAGUUUGAGAUAAUUUUUGCAUAACCCUGAUGUUAUACUAUGGGGGUUAUGUUUAAGCAUAGCUACGACUAUAUUGUAAUUUUUUCAACAGAUCAUUUCUUUGGAUCUGUUGUUAAAUUGAAGAAAAAUAAGUCUAAGAUUUCUCAAUUUCAAUUUGUUUUACUUUUGGUUUGUUCCUAAAAAAAAGUAAUAACUGUAAAAAAAGUUGAAAAGACAAACUCUCAUAAUUUUUAGUAAAAUAGUUAAUUUUGUAAAUAAAUUAAAAUGGAAUUAGAAGAUCCACCUUUGAACCAUUUUGAGGUCCAUAUUAAAAGAGUGGUGAUACAUGUACACCCCCAUGUGACAAUACACCUCUUACACCCACAUAAAAUCCUGACAUGUGGCAAGGAAAAGGGAGAGGAGAUGAAAGAGAAAGUAUGGUUGUGAAAUGAAUUUACCAAAAUAUCCUUAAUGCAUGGGAUGUACAAUAGAGUGUAUGAUUAAAGGGUGUUCAUGUAACAUUUUCUCCCCAAAGUCAUGGAUUUACGAAUUGUUUUUAAUAUUUUCUCCCCAAAAUAAUAAUAUAAGUAUUUAUGUAAAAAGGAACAUGUUGAAUUUUACUUUUUAUAGCUUUGAGAAAAUUGAGUGAUUCUUCAAGACCAAGUUUGUUUAAAUCAUUUGUUUCCUGAAUAGUCAUUUAUCUUGUUUACAAAGUGUAUGAAUUGUAACUUUCAUAAUUGUUCUCAUAAAGAUUUGAGAUUAUUUAAUUUGACUCUUCUUUUCAAAUGAUGAUGGAGGUUGCUAGAUGGAGAAAGAGCUUGUUGGAACGGAGUGUUGAAGCUAAAUAUUGUGAAGGGAAUUCUUCUUACCAAAUACCUCACCAGGGAUGAAUGCCGGAAUCCAUCAUGGGCAGACGGUCCACCCGAAAAAUUAAAAAAUUAAUAAUCAUAGAUUAAUUUUACGAGAUUUUAAAUAAUAUCAUAACGGUUGUAGUUUUCAGCAAUUUCGAACCCUCACACAACGGUGUGCAAAUUUUUUGUCACGCUUAUACUUUACCGGUGAAUGAAAUUUACAAUUAAUGUUUGUACAAUAUUAUGUGUUUAUAUAUUAUAUUUCAUUUUAGUGGUCCAUCCAUUUUUUAUUUUUUUUGGCUCCGCUAUUGCUUGGGAUAUUGGCCAAAUAUAAUUCACUUUUGAGGAAAGAUUUAUGUGAGCUUGCUUGAUAAGGUGAGAUGAUCACGAUUGAAUCUUUAAGUUUGUGAAGAAAACUAUUUGGAACAGAGAAACAAUCUCUUUUUGACAUGACUAUUAGUUAUCGAAUAUAAAUCAAGAUCGAUCUAUCAUCCAUUAUAUUAUUUCUCUCUAUCCCUAUACUUUUUUUAGCAGCAAAUUUUAUCUAAAAACCAGAUCUCUGCUCAAGACAAAAAGAGACUGAUGAUUAAGAUAAUACAAGCUAAAAGAUGGCGUAUAUAGGUGGAACACAUGAAAAUAAACACCAUUAAAGACACCACUACCCACAACACCUAGCCAAUCCAUAUCUUUAACAUCCAUGAGGACAACACCCUCCAAAAUAAACAUCAUCACAUAAAACAGACUCCUUCAAAAAACGACCAUUGAAAAAAUAAUAUCCAUAAACUACCCAUUGCCACCACUCACCCCAAAAGAACACCCGUAUAAAUGAAACACCCGAUCAUCCACACCAAAAUUGAACCACAUCCGAUCUAUCAUUCAGCUUCCAGAUCACAUACCCAGUCUCUCUAUCCCUCUAUCACCUACCCAGAUCACAUGAAUGCAUCACUCCUUUCUUGCUUCUAUCUAUGCUAAGGCAUAAUAUAAUAUUUGGGUGUGUAGGAAAAAUUUUCACUUGUAAAAUCUAGUUUUUCUGCCGCAUCAAAGUUUGUUGGUACUUGGUCGAUAAGAUCAUAAAGCCAAUAUUUCACCACCAUAUAAAACAAAAAUAUGUUUGAUGUACACUCGUAUAAAUCUAUACAUCUUGAGUGAGAAAUAAAUAAAGAGCAAGUAAUAUAUAAUAGUUGAUUUUUUUAUAGUAUCCGAGAUUUGAACCCACACCUUACAUAUAUUAUGCAUUAUCCUCAACAAUUGAUUAUGCUUGCAGGAACAACAUCUUAUAAUACUUGAUAAAAAAUUACAAUGUGUACGCGAGAUUAUCAACAGAAUAAACUAAUAAUAUUCAACAAAGAGGGGAUUUAUUCAUUUGUUGAACAACAAAAAGUGAUGACCGUUGGCACAACUAAUUAGUUCAGGAAGUUUCACAGAAAUGACCUUAAGGGAAUAUAUAGAUUAAAUAAUGAAAUAACACACGCUGUUUCAAUGUUCAUUUUUGAAUAAACAAUUUCAUAAACAAGAGUUGUUGCUAUAUAUAUAUAAGUGUAGUGAGUAGAGCACAUAUUCCCAAGUCUCAGUGCUUCCACAAACGAAAACUUAGAUCUAAAUUAACACCACUAAUUCUCUCAUCUAAAUUAAACAUGGCUUCUACCACCAAUGACUCAGAUUUUGCCUAUUUGGAACAUAUUCAACAAUACCUUCUUUUUGAUGAUUCCAGCUUUCUAACAUCUUAUCAACCUUCUCCAAGCCCUAAAAGUGACAAUGAGUCAGACACAAUUGUAGAGGCGCGUGAAGUAAACACCCCUCCCAUAUGGAAGCGGUACAAGGGCGUGAGGCGUAGGCCAUGGGGGAAGUUCGCGGCAGAGAUAAGAGAUCCAAAAAAGAAUGGUGCUAGGGUUUGGCUUGGUACUUAUGUGACUGAGGAGGAAGCAGCUUUGGCUUACGACAAAGCUGCUUUUAAGAUGCGUGGCCGAAAGGCCAAGCUUAAUUUUCCCCACCUCAUUGGCUCUGAUGUGUUUACACCAGAGCCAGAGAAGGAGGUGGUUUUGAAACGGGAAUCACCGGAGCCUUCUUCAUCGGAGGAAAGUUGUGAGUCAUCGUCACCAAGGUUAAAGAGGAG
rnacentral:lncRNA from 1 species